rnacentral:rRNA from 1 species
GAUUAACGCUGGCGGCGUGCAUAACACAUUCAAGUCGAACGGUGAGGGGGCUUCGGCCCCUGAUCAGUGGCGGACGGGUGAGUAACGCGUGAGCAACCUGCCCUUGUGUGGGGGAUAACGUCUGGAAACGGACGCUAAUACCGCAUAACCCAAUAGUAUCGCAUGAUACAGUUGGCAAAGAUUUAUUGCACAAGGAUGGGCUCGCGUCUGAUUAGGUAGUUGGUGGGGUAACGGCCUACCAAGCCCGCGAUCAGUAGCCGGACUGAGAGGUUGAACGGCCACAUUAGAACUGAGAUACGGUCCAGACUCCUACAGGAGGCAGCAGUGGGGAAUAUUGGGCAAUGGGGGAAACCCUGACCCAGCGACGCCGCGUGAGGGAAGAAGGUCUUCGGAUUGUAAACCUUAAACAACAGGGACGAAGAAAGUGACGGUACCUGUUAGGAAGCCACGGCUAACUACGUGCCAGCAGCCGCGGUAACAC